rnacentral:rRNA from 1 species
GACGAACGCUGGCGGCGUGCUUAACACAUGCAAGUCGAACGAUGAAGAAAAGAAUCGAAGCUUCGGCAGAAAUUCAAUCCGGAUUAGUGGCAGACGGGUGAGUAACGCGUGAGCAACCUACCCUUCACAAAGGGAUAGCCACGGGAAAACGGGAUUAACACCAUAUAACAUUGCGAUGAAGCAUUUCGAUGCAAUCAAAGCUACGGCGGUAAGAGAUGGGUUCGCGUCCCAUUAACCGGAUGGUGAGGUAACGGCACGGCAUAGUGACGAAGGGUAACCGGGCUGGGAAGGUGAACGGUCACACUGGAGCUGAGGCACGGUCCAGAAUCCUACGGGAGGCAGCAGUAGAGAGUAUUACGCGAGGGAGGGAGCUCUAAUGCAGCGGCGCCGCGUAAGUGGUGAAGGGAUUCGUAUCGUAAAACUCUGUUCUAUGAGAAGAGAGGGACUGUACCGUAUGAGAAAGCUCCGGCUAAAUACGUG